CGCCCGGGAGAUCGCUGCCCGCGGCCACUCUGGACGGAGCGCCAGCCGGUAGCAGCAGGAGCCGCCGAAGAGUGGGCGCCAGCACCUGCUCAUUGGCAAGAGCCGCAGCCUCCGGAAGCGACCCCGCAGCCCCAGGUGCUCCCUGGGCCCUCCUAGCCGGGAAAACUGCCUGAGGCCGAGCGGACAGCAGCAGCCCCCAAAGGUGCUCCACAGAGGGGCCGUCUGCCUGGCAGGUGCUCAGACCAUCCCUCCAACCUGUCCCAAGCUCAGAGCAAGGGAGCAGGACCAGGGGGCGCUGAACAACUGAGGGAUGUGGACCAGGGACGAAAUAAAUCACUACUUAUUGGAUUGGA